rnacentral:rRNA from 1 species
UCUUUUUUCCCUGGAGGAGAAGAGUUUUACACUCUGGGGAUUGCGGCCGUGUGUUGGGCGAUAUGGACUUGUCGUAAUAGAGCUACCUUCGAAUUUAAACCUCUUAAAACCCCGUUUGAAUGCAUAUUUUCUGCUUGUGCUUUACUUUGUUACUGGGCAGGGCUGCUGAAGCAAGAGGACACCGCAAGCAUGAGGGAUGGGGCAAAGAUGCUGAAGGAGAACGCAUCGAUGAUGAUGAGGAUCUGUGCUGCAAGUCAGGAAGAAGCGACGCGCUGA